rnacentral:rRNA from 1 species
GAUGAACGCUGGCGGCGUGCCUAAUACAUGCAAGUCGAGCGAACGGACGAGAAGCUUGCUUCUCUGAUGUUAGCGGCGGACGGGUGAGUAACACGUGGAUAACCUACCUAUAAGACUGGGAUAACUUCGGGAAACCGGAGCUAAUACCGGAUGAUAUUUUGAACCGCAUGGUUCAAAAGUGAAAGACGGUCUUGCUGUCACUUAUAGAUGGAUCCGCGCUGCAUUAGCUAGUUGGUAAGGUAACGGCUUACCAAGGCAACGAUGCAUAGCCGACCUGAGAGGGUGAUCGGCCACACUGGAACUGAGACACGGUCCAGACUCCUACGGGAGGCAGCAGUAGGGAAUCUUCCGCAGUGGGCGAAAGCCUGCCGGAGCAACGCCGCGUGAGUGAUGAAGGUCUUCGGAUCGUAAAACUCUGUUAUUAGGGAAGAACAUAUGUGUAAGUAACUGUGCACAUCUUGACGGUACCUAAUCAGAAAGCCACGGCUAACUACGUG